UGGGGAAUAUUGCACAAUGGGCGCAAGCCUGAUGCAGCCAUGCCGCGUGUAUGAAGAAGGCCUUCGGGUUGUAAAGUACUUUCAGUCGGGAGGAAGGUGGUAAGGUUAAUAACCUUAUCAAUUGACGUUACCGACAGAAGAAGCACCGGCUAACUCCGUGCCAGCAGCCGCGGUAAUACGGAGGGUGCAAGCGUUAAUCGGAAUUACUGGGCGUAAAGCGCACGCAGGCGGUUGAUUGAGUCAGAUGUGAAAUCCCCGGGCUUAACCCGGGAAUUGCAGUCGAAACUGGCAGGCUAGAGUCUUGUAGAGGGCGGUAGAAUUCCAGGUGUAGCGGUGAAAUGCGUAGAGAUCUGGAGGAAUACCGGUGGCGAAGGCGGCCCCCUGGACAAAGACUGACGCUCAGGUGCGAAAGCGGGGGGAGCAAACAGG
rnacentral:rRNA from 1 species